UCUCUAACUUUUAAGUUUUGA
rnacentral:piRNA from 1 species